rnacentral:rRNA from 1 species
UACGGGGGGGUAAGCGUUGUUCGGAAUUACUGGGCGUAAAGGGCUCGUAGGCGGCCAACUAAGUCAUACGUGAAAUCCCUCAGCUUAACUGGGGAACUGCGUGUGAUACUGGAUGGCUUGGAUUUGGGAGAGGGAUGCGGAAUUCCAGGUGUAGCGGUGAAAUGCGCAGAUAUCGGGAGGAACACCAGUAGCGAAGGCGGCUCGGCUGGGCCACACCUGACGCUGAGACGCGAAAGCUAGGGGAGCGAACAGG